GGGGGUGUACUGGUUUCGACGGGGACGCCGGGGAGGCGUCAAGCGAGCCGCAGCCCUGCACCUGCGUCAACAAGCGGGACCUAAAAAUGAACUGACAAUUCUAACGAAUUGGCUUUCGCCGCCUAACGGCGACGUCGGCCCCAGGCCACCUGCAGCCUGGGAUCCCGGCGUCAGAAAUGCAGGGACCGAACCGGCCUAAGCUUUGCGGCCGGCCGUACGGAUGAAGCUACUGAACCCAUGACCCUGUCUGCGGGGGCUUGGCAGAGGGAACGUUAAAACACAGACUGCGCUCGGAGAAAGGCGUCUUGACGGGUUUUCGGACAGGGGUUCGACUCCCCUCACCUCCACCA
rnacentral:tmRNA from 2 species